UUUUUUUCUUCUCAAGAGAAACAGGCCUCCUGUCAGUCCUGUUUUAAAUUAUUUAAAAUUCCGAUCCGAUCGAUCGAAGCUGCCAGGAACCAGCUGCCGUUUGUUUCCUGACCGUCUCGAGCACCAGGGCCAGACCGUUCCGAGCCAUCAUAGCCAGCAGUGUAAAUCCGGAUGGCGCUAAGAUGUUCACGACUGGUUUGGUGGAUGAAGAGGACGACGUCGCGUCAAAGGAACCAGGAUUUCACCGCAGCUAGCAAAAGAUUAGUGACAGGGACGGAUUCUUAGCUGCCACCUGGCAGGAUUGUGGAUUGAAAGACUACACACUGGACAGAAGAACUGACUAUUAAAUGCAUUGACGACUCAGGGGACAAACAAGUGAAAAUGUGCCAUUAGUCAGACAGCAUCAGUGAACAGCAUCAUCGAGCCGAGCAACAAAAAUACUUAAAUCGUUUGGUGUCAUGUUGUGUUUCUGGUGAUUGAUGUCGUAGAACCACGUCUACAACAUGAUCACGGCGGACGCUGCGUAUAUUGCUGGCAGGCAGUGCAGCGAGCAACUCAACGACCCUUUGACUAAGUCCUUCUGCCUAAGAGAUCAGAAGUUUCAAGUUCAACUAAAGAUUUGCCCUAAGGAUGAACGCCUAUUUAAGACAUCGUUGACGUCAAGACACUGCUUGGAUUGGUCACAUGAUCACAAUUGUUGAGCUGCUUUUCUCCGACCGAUUGUCCAAGAUGUCUCAACUUGGGAAUAGUUUUGGUGAGUCUAUUUAUAAAGAUUAUCUUCUUCAGAAGUGUUCAUUUAUAGUAGAAACUAGCAUUUUGUCCAAAACUAAUUUCUAAUGUUAAAUACUCCGUUGAAUUUAGAAUCCGAUACACAAUAUUUUCAAAUAUUUUUCAAGCCUUGCAGUCAUUCAACUCAAAUAAAAGCACUUAAAUUCCUAACUUAAUUUUUGAUUACGAUCACUUCAAUCGAUUUUUG